rnacentral:rRNA from 1 species
GGCGUGCUUAACACAUGCAUGCAGUCGAGCGGUAAGGCCCUUCGGGGUACACGAGCGGCGAACGGGUGAGUAACACGUGGGUGAUCUGCCUCGUACUCUGGGAUAAGCCUGGGAAACUGGGUCUAAUACCGGAUAUGACCACGAGUCGCAUGGUUUGUGGUGGAAAGAUUUAUCGGUGCGAGAUGGGCCCGCGGCCUAUCAGCUUGUUGGUGGGGUAAUGGCCUACCAAGGCGACGACGGGUAGCCGGCCUGAGAGGGCGACCGGCCACACUGGGACUGAGACACGGCCCAGACUCCUACGGGAGGCAGCAGUGGGGAAUAUUGCACAAUGGGCGGAAGCCUGAUGCAGCGACGCCGCGUGCGGGAUGACGGCCUUCGGGUUGUAAACCGCUUUCGACAGGGACGAAGCGUGAGUGACGGUACCUGUAGAAGAAGCACCGGCCAACUACGUGCCAGCAGCCGCGGUAAUACGUAGGGUGCGAGCGUUGUCCGGAAUUACUGGGCGUAAAGAGCUUGUAGGCGGUUUGUCGCGUCGUUCGUGAAAACUUGGGGCUCAACCCCAAGCUUGCGGGCGAUACGGGCAGACUAGAGUACUGCAGGGGAGACUGGAAUUCCUGGUGUAGCGGUGAAAUGCGCAGAUAUCAGGAGGAACACCGGUGGCGAAGGCGGGUCUCUGGGCAGUAACUGACGCUGAGAAGCGAAAGCGUGGGUAGCGAACAGGAUUAGAUACCCUGGUAGUCCACGCCGUAAACGGUGGGUACUAGGUGUGGGUUUCCUUCCACGGGAUCCGUGCCGUAGCUAACGCAUUAAGUACCCCGCCUGGGGAGUACGGCCGCAAGGCUAAAACUC